AGAACCUGGAAAGUGAGCUAUAUG
rnacentral:piRNA from 1 species